rnacentral:lncRNA from 1 species
CAAACCCAUUCAUUCAUUUCAAAAUUUCUACCCUUCAUGACUUUGUCUGUGACGAUUUCACACUUCGCCACCCACUUCCCUCUCCACUGGUGACAAAGCCCGCUGUUCCCUUCCCUCUCCGUCAACCGUCGUCUUCGACAGUCGUCACAGUACAAUCGUCGUUCCCUUUCCCUCUCCGACAGUUCAUUAUUGUAUAUCUCCUACUCUAAGCUCUCAUCUUGACAUCUCACAUCUCUGACUCCUACUUUACAUCCUCAGCUCCGCCAAGGCACUAAGUGCCAACGCCAACCAGUCGAGCCGACAAAAUAAGAAGCCAGAUUCCAGAAAGCAAAAGGCGAAUCCCCAAAUUUUUUU